rnacentral:rRNA from 1 species
GAUCCUGGCUCAGGACGAACGCUGGCGGCGUGCCUAAUACAUGCAAGUAGAACGCUGAAGGAAGGAGCUUGCUCUUUCCGGAUGAGUUGCGAACGGGUGAGUAACGCGUAGGUAACCUGCCUGGUAGCGGGGGAUAACUAUUGGAAACGAUAGCUAAUACCGCAUAACAGUAGAUAUCGCAUGAUAUGUGCUUGAAAGGUGCAAUUGCAUCACUACCAGAUGG